rnacentral:RNase_P_RNA from 2 species
UAGGCUAGUUAUCUGGUAGCUGUAAUUCGUUACAGAGGAAAGUCGGGACACUUUUUGAGUAAUCAAAAAAGUAGGUGGCAGAGUUUUAAACUGCCGAGGGUAACCUUAGGGAGUCUGAAAAGACUGAAAAGUGCAACAGAAAAAAUACAGCCCAGCUUCGGUUGGGCGAUGGUGAAAUGGAGAUGAAAUAAUCUCCUGUGAAGACGGGCAACCGUCCACAUGGCAAACCCCACCUAGUGCAAUGGCAAGAAUGGUAGCCAGCUUAGAUUAAUUACCAGAGACGCUUAGGUGUAACAAAAUCCCGCUUAUCGACUGGCAAACCGC